UGGUGGAUGCUGGGAAGGGUUGAAUCUUAUUGGUGGAUGCUGGGAAAGGUUGAAUCUUAUUGGUGGAUGCUGGGAAAGGUUGAAUCUUAUUGGUGGAUGCUGGGAAAGGUUGAAUCUUAUUGGUGGAUGCUGGGAAAGGUUGAAUCUUAUUGGUGGAUGCUGGGAAAGGUUGAAUCUUAUUGGUGGAUGCUGGGAAGGGUUGAAUCUUAUUGGUGGAUGCUGGGAAGGGUUGAAUCUUAUUGGUGGAUGCUGGGAAAGGUUGAAUCUUAUUGGUGGAUGCUGGGAAGGGUUGAAUCUUAUUGGUGGAUGCUGGGAAGGGCUGAAUCUUAUUGGUGGAUGCUGGGAAAGGUUGAAUCUUAUUGGUGGAUGCUGGGAAAGGUUGAAUCUUAUUGGUGGAUGCUGGGAAAGGUUGAAUCUUAUUGGUGGAUGCUGGAAAGGGUUGAAUCUUAUUGGUGAAUGAUGGGAAGGGCUGAAUCUUAUUGGUGGAUGAUGGGAAGGAUUGAAUCUUAUUGGUGGAUGCUGAAAAGGGUUGAAUCUUAUUGAUGGAUGAUGGAAAGGGUUGAAUCUUAUUGGUGGAUGCUGGGAAGGGCUGAAUCUUGCCUACAGGGUGUCUCAAAAUGUCUGGUCUUGGUCUUGGCUACAGUGUGUUUCAAGAUGUCACUUUACAAACAGUGUGUCUCAGAAAAAAAAGAAUGGAUGAGUCAGGAAUAUUAUGACAGGGUGUUCCAAAAUGUGUG